AACCUGCCUUUCUCUGCGGGACAACGGUUGGAAACGACCGCUAAUACCGCAUACGCCCUACGGGGGAAAGGUCAGCCGGAGAAAGAGGGGCCCGCGUUAGAUUAGCUAGUUGGUGGGGUAAUGGCCUACCAAGGCGACGAUCUAUAGCUGGUCUGAGAGGAUGAUCAGCCACACUGGGACUGAGACACGGCCCAGACUCCUACGGGAGGCAGCAGUGAGGAAUAUUGGACAAUGGGGGCAACCCUGAUCCAGCAAUGCCGCGUGUGUGAUGAAGGCCCUAGGGUUGUAAAGCACUUUCACUGGUGAAGAUGAUGACGGUAACCAGAGAAGAAGCCCCGGCUAACUUCGUGCCAGCAGCCGCGGUAAUACGAAGGGGGCGAGCGU
rnacentral:rRNA from 1 species